UCAGAUCACGUAAAAUUUUAAUAGUCGAACAGACUAAUUAUUCUAGCCCCUUCACCAAAAUUAAAUUUAAUUCAACAUCGAGGUCAUAAACUUAAUUAUCAAUAAGAACUCACCAAUUAAAUUAUGCUGUUAUCCCUAGAGUAACUUAUUUACCUAAUAAAUUAUUUAAACAAAAAUUAUUCUUCUUCAUUAAAAUUGCCCCAAUCAAAAAUAUUCUAUAUUUAAAAGCUUCUAGGGUCUUCUCGUCCCAAGGCUUUAUAAAAGCUUUUUUACUUUUAAAUUAAAUUCAAAAUCAUAUUACAAAACCAUCCCAUCAGUCUCUACCUUUCAUUCCAGUCCCCAAUUAAAGAA
rnacentral:rRNA from 1 species